rnacentral:rRNA from 1 species
CCUACGGGAGGCAGCAGUAGGGAAUAUUGCACAAUGGGGGAAACCCUGAAGCAGCGACGCCGCGUGGGGGAAGAAGGAAUUCGGAAUGUAAAGCUCUAUCGGUAGGGAAGAAAAUGACGGUACCUAAGGAAGAAGCCCCGGCUAACUACGUGCCAGCAGCCGCGGUAAUACGGAGGGGGCAAGCGUUAUCCGGAAUUACUGGGCGUAAAGGGAGCGUAGGCGGGAGUGCAAGUCAGAUGUGAAAGCCGGGGGCUUAACCCCCGGACUGCAUUGGAAACUGUACGGCUGGAGUGUGGGAGAGGUAAGUGGAAUUCCUAGUGUAGCGGUGAAAUGCGUAGAGAUUAGGAGGAACACCAGUGGCGAAGGCGGCCUACUGGAACGUAACUGACGUUGAGGCUCGAAAGCGUGGGGAGCAAACAGGAUUAGAUACCCGUGUAGUC